GGUCAUGUAGUUUAUUGGCAGAACAAGGAUUUUGCAGGUCCUAGGAUAGUCGGGUUCGAUUCCUCACAUGGCGU
rnacentral:tRNA from 1 species